GUCUCUUUUUCUCUCUCCCACACACAGACACUUGCUUUCUUGUUCUCCUUUUGAACUUUUUUCCAUUUCAACUCUUCUCAUGUCUGCUAUAUGCAUAAAAGGUUGAGGGGAAUGUUGUCCGGCUCGAAAUCAUUCAUAAAUAUAUCUAACAUAACAUUUAUGAGUGAUUUCGGACCAGGCUUCAUUCCCCUCAACAACAAUAGAGACAUUAUUAACAAUUAUCUUCAUCUAGAAUAAGUACUAAGGAAAUUGGAGACCAGAAAAGAACUGCAAAAUUUGCUAUGUAGGACUAAUUGGUAAUUGGACAAGAUUCCAGAUCAGACCCGACUGCUCAGAUUUCAAGUUGAAUGCAUGUAGUCCUUGAGGGCGUGCAAGACGGACUACCGCACAGGAUACAAAAAUUUGUAUUUGAGAAACUGUGGUUGAAUGCGUCAAAUUAUUGACUACAGUAAAUCCGAUUUCAAUUUCGGGACAUUUUGGGUGAUAAAAUCAUCAUUUGCAGAUAUUGCAGUUUUAGGUGACAGGAAAAUCUAAGACAGUAGACUGUGAAAAUCACUCGAGUAUCACUCUGUCAUUGUCCUUCCAUUUUGCACAAAGGGUGAAAAGAACAGUAUAGCUUUUUUGGCAUACUUCACCUAUGAGGGAAAUAAAAUUACCUGAAGCAGAAUAGUACAAUACAAACGCUAUAAUCAUUCACAUUUUUGGCAUCAUAUAAAUUUGUAACGUCAUCUGAAAACCAGGUUCUGCAACACACUCAAAAUUUACAUUAAUAUGUAGAACAGUAGAAGUAGGCAAGCUCUAGUAUCUACAUUUUGCAGCAUUGAUGCAUCCAGAUGAUAAUCAAAUUUAUGAAAAUCGAUAUCAUCAUGAGUAGACAAGUUCUUAGACACAUACGCGGACAUUUUAGAUUGAAAGUGUUUCUGAUCUAUGAAACGUGUCGGCGGUAUAUAACAUAUUAUCUUAUUUUCUCAAAUUAUUACUAGUGUUCAUUUU